GGAGAGGGGGAAGGGGUUAAUCUCUGACUCCUGGGUGUGCAGAGCGCUUCCAUUGGGUUUGGUGUCAUAAUGAUCAUGUGGAUUUGUCAUAAUGAAACCAGUGUGCUGAAGCCUAAUUUACUACUUCCGUUUUAGCAUGAGCGAAAACAUCCGCUUCAGUCCGCACUCCGAAAUCUCUUUAAGACUUUACAAGGUGGAUGAAGCGGAACACUGAGGAUGGCAGCUGAUGUUUGAAGUCCGAACACCAAAAGCAAAAGUAGUGGACAUAAAUUAGGCUCGAGGAAGACCUCCAUGUCAUAACUUCAUUUCCUAAGUAGAUGCACAAUUAAGAGCAUGACUGGUACGGCAACUGCACUGCCCACAACCGCAGGGCUCUCCAGAGGGUGGUGCGGGUCUGCACAGCACCGGGGGCAAACCACCUGCCCUCCAGGACACCAACAGCACACGAUGUCACAGGAAGGCCAAAAAGAUCAUCAAGGACAAGAAACACCCAAGCCACUGCCUGUUCACCCCGCUACCAUCCAGAAGAUGGGGAGGAUGUGGGUACGCAGACCGGCGAGCCACUGCGGCCCCUCACAAACAGCAGUGUAAAGUAUUUCAGUAAAAAUACUUCAAACUACUACUCAAGUCAUUUUUUGGAGUAUCUGUACUUAACCAUUUAUAUUUCUGACAACUUCUACUUCAAUACAUACUUUAUGAAAAUAUUGUACUUUUUUACUCCAUACAUUUUCCCUGAAAACCAGAAGUACUCGUUACAUUUUGAAUGCUUAGCAGGACAGGGGGAAAAAACUGUCAAACUCACACACUUAAAAAGAGAACACAUGAGCUGUGUUCAAAUACUCAUACUAACUGCAUUAACUAUACUAUUUGCGAUGUAAAUUGAGUAUAUAGUAUGCUUAUUGGUGAUAGUAUGGAUACAGUUAGUGUGCCAAAAGUUCCCGGAUGUCGUACCACAUUCGCCAAAAUACGAAGUGUACAAGCAGUGGACACUAUUUCAGUACUUUUAGGGCCCAUAAUGCAAUUCUGGAAAUGGGUGUGGCUUCACAACGUUUUCAGAUUUGAAGAAUAUAUGCAGCCGAAGUCCAACGAGGGCGGAAACAAAUUCAUUGCUUUAACGAAUUACGACUAAUGUUAAGUAAUGUAUUAAAGUAAUGACUUUUCAAAUGGGUUAACUUACAUGUUAUGUCUGACAAUUUUAUAGCUAUCCUUAUGAACCAUAUAGCAUAUAACUACAGAAGUAUCUACCGGUAUGUUAGCUAGCUACCUAAAGUUAGUUGGCCUACUGAUACAUUAAACUUGCCAGUAUAUUAACUAUAUGCUAACUAAUUAACUACACAACAAUAAUUGACUUAUUCCCAUCAUUCUUAGCUUAACUAAGUGGUAUAGUCAUUGGGCUUUCUCAAUGGACAUUCGGGUGCAUUCAUAAAUUCGCUCUGGCUAUCUACUCUGAUUUCAGAGCACUCUCCUCUGAGUACCAGAGCGCAGAAUAACUGAUGAAUUUACAAGUGCUCAACACCCAUUGAAUAUGGCCGGUGUCAGUAAACAUCAGCAAAAACACGUAAUUAAAUUGUUGCCAGCAGCACAAUUAGUCACCAAAGCUCUGGAUAACAUGAAAACUGCCUAAACAGCUCUGCUAUGGUGAGUAAAAUGGUCAGUGAGGUGUUCUCUCAUUUGUGUCUGGAAGUAGCUAACCAAUGUUAGCUUGGAUGCUUGACUGCCGUUGUAAGCCCACAACGCUUGAAUCCUCGGCCCGAGCAUCCAGUGUGCGCUCCGACUAAACACAAAUGCAUCUUUUGUAAAUCAUGUCUGAGAGUUGGAGUGCCCCUGGAUAUCACAGUGUCAGCUUGUAUAUCAAUGUUUUAUGGGUGGGUGUAUCUCCCACAAGACCAAAAGAAAUGGAAAGAGCAUUAUGCCGCUGACUCAUAAUAUACCAAGUGCCUGUGGUGGAGUGAGUCUUCUCUGAGGUGAAGAGAACUUCCUGCUCAAAUGAAGUACGGGAGACAGGCCAGGUAAGUAAUCUAUUCCAUUGUCUGCUGGCCGGCCAUCAGGUGAUACCUAAACUGAUUCCCUCCAUGUAUAUAUUCUCAUGUAUGUAAUGGGAUGGUGUGUAAUCCUGCUGACUGCAGAGGUUGAUCAGCUUAAGCUCAUCCCCGGUCACCUCACAAGGCUAAUGGUUUGGGCUUAGAGACCAUGAAGUAUGUGUGUGCUUGUCUAUAAACUUAUAGAUUGUAGCUGUGAAGCGCUUUGGCCAAGUGUACGCAAGUGGUGAGCUUGCAUUUUUUAUGUUUAAAUCUUUAUUUAACUAGGCAAGUCAGUUAAAAACACAUUCUUAUUUUCAGUGACGGCCUAGGAACAGUGGGUUAACUGCCUUGUUCAGGGGCAGAACAACAUUUUUUUUAACCUUGUCUGCGAGAGCAAAUAUCAACCUGCGCUCUACCACACGGUCUCAAAAUAAAAUACUUUGUCAUCAAGUAUGUGGUUGUGAUAUGCCUGUAUUUUUUUACUUUGCCUUUAUUUAACUAGGCAAGUCAGUUAAGAACACAUUCUUACUUUCAAUGACGGCCUAGGAACAGUGGGUUAACUGCCUGUUCAGGGGCAGAACGACAGAUUAGUACCUUGUCAGCUCGGGGGUUUGAACUUGCAACCUUCCGGUUACUAGUCCAACGCUCUAUCCACUAGCCUAUCCUGCCGCCCCCCCCUGCCGUAUUGC